rnacentral:rRNA from 1 species
AGUGAACGCUGGCGGUAGGCCUAACACAUGCAAGUCGAACGGCAGCACAGUAAGAGCUUGCUCUUACGGGUGGCGAGUGGCGGACGGGUGAGGAAUACAUCGGAAUCUACUUUUUCGUGGGGGAUAACGUAGGGAAACUUACGCUAAUACCGCAUACGACCUACGGGUGAAAGCAGGGGAUCUUCGGACCUUGCGCGAUUGAAUGAGCCGAUGUCGGAUUAGCUAGUUGGCGGGGUAAAGGCCCACCAAGGCGACGAUCCGUAGCUGGUCUGAGAGGAUGGUCAGCCACACUGGAACUGGGACAGCGACAAUGCUCCUACGGGAGGCAGCAGUGGGCAAUAUUGGACAAUGGUCGCAAGCCUGAUCCAGCCAUACCGCGUGGGUGAAGAAGGCCUUCGGGUUGUAAAGCCCUUUUGUUGGGAAAGAAAAGCAGCAGGUUAAUACCCCGCUGUUCUGACGGUACCCAAAGAAGAAGCACCGGCUAACUUCGUG